rnacentral:rRNA from 1 species
GGUUGCUUGCAAGGGCGUAUGGUGGAUGCCUUGGCAGACAGUACCGAUGAAGGACGUUUGAGGCUGCGAUAUGCCUCGGGGAGCCGCCAGCAGGGCUUUGAUCCGAGGAUUUCCGAAUGGGGGAACCCGCCGGCCGUCAUGGGCCGGCACCGCGUUCGCGCGGGGGGUACGCAGGGAAGUGAAACAUCUCAGUACCUGCAGGAAAGGAUGUUCCGUGAGUAGUGGCGAGCGAAAGCGGAUCAGGCCAAACCGCGCGCGUGUGACAGGCGCCAGCCGUUGCGCGCGUGGUGUUGAGGGAGCGUGUGUCCGGGUCCUGGCGGGCCCGGCCGGAGUGAUAAAACGGCGUGUGAGGCGAACCGGAUUGAAUGCCGGGCCGCAGAGGGUGAUGGCCCCGUAGCCGAACGCGCGUCGUCUCCGGAUCGUGUUUCCCAAGUAGCGCGGGACUCGUGGAAUCCCGUGUGAAUCCGCCCCGACCGUGGGGUAAGCCUAGAUAUACCUGUCUGACCGAUAGCGAACUAGUACCGUGAGGGAAAGGUGAAAAGCACCCCGGGAGGGGAGUGAAACAGUCUCUGAAACCGUGCGCUUACAAACCGUCGGAGCCUUUCGGGGUGACGGCGUGCCUAUCGAAAAAUGAGUCUGCGAGUCAGUGGCACGUGGCGAGCGUAACCCGUGUGGGGUACGCGUAGCGAAGGCGAGUCUCAAAAGGCGUUUGAGUCGCGUGUCCUGGACCCGAAGCGGGAUGAUCUAGCCCUGAGCAGGUUGAAGCGCGGGUAAGACCGCGUGGAGGACCGAACCCACCUGGGUUGAAAACCGGGGGGAUGACUUGGGGUUAGGGGUGAAAGGCCAAUCAAAUUCCGUGAUAGCUGGUUCUCUCCGAAAUGCAUUUAGGUGCAGCGUCGGGGAUUACGUCCGGGGGGUAGAGCUACUGGAUGCUUGAGGGCCCGUAUCGGGUACCGACAGCAGCCAAACUCCGAAUACCCGUGACGCGUAUCCCGGCAGUGAGUCGGCGGGGGAUAAGCUCCGUCGUCGAAAGGGAGACAGCCCAGAUCGUCGUCUAAGGUCCCCAAGCGCGUGCUAAGUGGGAAAGGAUGUGGAGUCGCAUAGACAGCCAGGAGGUUGGCUCAGAAGCAGCCACCCUUGAAAGAGUGCGUAACAGCUCACUGGUCUAGUGGUUCCGCGCCGACAAUGUAGCGGGGCUCAAGCACGCCACCGAAGACGCGGCAGCGUCCGUUUGGAUGCUGGGUAGGAGAGCGUCCCCAUCGGGGCGAAGCGGCGGCGCAAGCCUGCCGUGGACCGUUGGGGAGUGAGAAUGCAGACAUGAGUAGCGAGAGGCGGGUGCGAAUCCCGCCCGCUGGAUGACCAAGGGUUCCGGGGCCACGUUCGUCGUCCCCGGGUGAGUCGGGUCCUAAGGCGAGGCCGACAGGCGUAGUCGAAUGGAUGAACGGGCUGAUAUUCCCGUACCGGCAGCGAACCGAAACAACCGAGGCCUGGGGCGCUAACCUCCGGGUCCGUGCCGUCUCCCCUUUCGGGGGGUCGCGGCGCGGGCGCGUUGGGAUCCCCCCUCGUAGUAGGUCAGCGCAGGAGUGACGCAUCAGGGCAGCCGGCCGCGGAGGUGGUUUUCCGUGGUCAAGCGUUCGAGCCCGUCCCGCAGGCAAAUCCGCGGGGCGUCGGGGCGAGGCGUGAUGAUGGGGGCCUUACGGCCCGAAUCCGGUGAUCCGUGGUGCCGAGAAAAGCUUCGGCGUCAGGCGCGUUGCCGCCCGUACCCCAAACCGACACUGGUGGUCAGGUAGAGAAUACCAAAGCGAUCGAGCGAAUCCUGGUCAAGGAACUCGGCAAAUUGCUCCCGUGCCUUCGGCAUAAGGGAGACCCCCUGCGGUGAUGAGCGGCGGGGGGUGGCACAGGCCAGGGGGUAGCGACUGUUUACCAAAAACACAGGAGCGUGCGAAGGCGCAAGCCGCUGUAUACGCUCUGACGCCUGCCCGGUGCCGGAAGGUUAAGAGGAUCCGUCAGCUUCUGCGAAGCGGUGAAUUCAAGCCCCGGUAAACGGCGGUGGUAACUAUAACCAUCCUAAGGUAGCGAAAUUCCUUGUCGGGUAAGUUCCGACCUGCACGAAUGGCGUAACGACUUCCCCACUGUCUCGACCAGGAGCUCGGCGAAAUUGCAGUACGAGUAAAGAUGCUCGUUAAGCGCAGAAGGACGAAAAGACCCCGGGACCUUUACUAUACCUUGGUAUUGGCAUUAGGCGCGGAUUGUGUAGCAUAGGCGGGAGGCUUCGAGGCGGGUGCGCCAGCAUCCGCGGAGCCGCAAGGUGAAAUACCGCUCUGUUCUCGUUUGAUGUCUAACCUCGAACAGUCAUCCUGUUCAGGGACAGUGCCUGGCGGGUAGUUCAACUGGGGCGGUUGCCUCCCAAAGAGUAACGGAGGCGCUCAAAGGUCCGCUCGGCCCGGUUGGCAAUCGGGUGUCGAGUGUAAUCGCACAAGCGGGCUUGACUGCGAGAUCGACGGAUCGAGCAGGGACGAAAGUCGGAGAUAGUGAUCCGGUGCCGGCGCACGGGCGCGGCAUCGCUCAACGGAUAAAAGGUA